rnacentral:rRNA from 1 species
UAACGCGAGGAGCUUGCUCCUUGGCGACGAGUGGCGGACGGGUGAGUAACACUUGGGAAUCUGCCCUGUAGUGGGGGACAACACGGGGAAACUCGUGCUAAUACCGCAUACGUCCUACGGGAGAAAGUGGGGGAUCUUCGGACCUCACGCUAUUGGAUGAGCCCAAGUCGGAUUAGCUUGUUGGUGGGGUAAAAGCCUACCAAGGCGACGAUCCGUAGCUGGUCUGAGAGGACGAUCAGCCACACUGGGACUGAGACACGGCCCAGACUCCUACGGGAGGCAGCAGUGGGGAAUAUUGGACAAUGGGGGCAACCCUGAUCCAGCAAUGCCGCGUGUGUGAAGAAGGCCUGCGGGUUGUAAAGCACUUUCAGUAGAGAAGAAAAGCUCAGGGUUAAUACCCCUGAGUCUUGACGUAACCUACAGAAGAAGCACCGGCUAACUCCGUGCCAGCAGCCGCGGUAAUACGGAGGGUGCGAGCGUUAAUCGGAAUUACUGGGCGUAAAGCGCGCGUAGGCGGUUGGAUUAGUCGGAUGUGAAAGCCCUGGGCUUAACCUGGGAAUUGCAUUCGAUACUGCAGAACUAGAGUAUGGUAGAGGGAAAGUGGAAUUUCCGGUGUAGCG